GACGAACGCUGGCGGCGUGCCUAAUACAUGCAAGUAGAACGCUGAAGCGAGGAGCUUGCUCUUCUUGGAUGAGUUGCGAACGGGUGAGUAACGCGUAGGUAACCUGCCUUGUAGCGGGGGAUAACUAUUGGAAACGAUAGCUAAUACCGCAUAACAAUGGAUGACACAUGUCAUUUAUUUGAAAGGGGCAAUUGCUCCACUACAAGAUGGACCUGCGUUGUAUUAGCUAGUAGGUGAGGUAAUGGCUCACCUAGGCGACGAUACAUAGCCGACCUGAGAGGGUGAUCGGCCACACUGGGACUGAGACACGGCCCAGACUCCUACGGGAGGCAGCAGUAGGGAAUCUUCGGCAAUGGGGGCAACCCUGACCGAGCAACGCCGCGUGAGUGAAGAAGGGUUUCGGAUCGUAAAGUUCUGUUGUAAGUCAAGAACGGGUGUGAGAGUGGAAAGUUCACACUGUGACGGUAGCUUAACAGAAAGGGACGGCUAACUACGUG
rnacentral:rRNA from 1 species